rnacentral:rRNA from 1 species
GUAGGUGGCAAGCGUUGUCCGGAAUUAUGGGCGUAAAGCGCGCGCAGGCGGGUCCUUUAAGUCUGAUGUGAAAGCCCACGGGCUCAACCGUGGAGGGUCAUUGGAAACUGGGGGACUUGAGUACAGAAGAGGAAAGCGGAAUUCCAAGUGUAGCAGUGAAAUGCGUAGAGAUUUGGAGGAACACCAGUGGCGAAGGCGGCUUUCUGGUCUGUAACUGACGCUGAGGCGCGAAAGCGUGGGGGGAGCAAACAGGAUUAGAUACCCUGGUAGUCCACGCCGUAAACGAUGAGUGCUAAGUGUUAGGGGGGUUUCCGCCCCUUAGUGCUACAGCUAACGCAUUAAGCACUCCGCCUGGGGAGUACGGCCGCAAAGGCUG